UUUAAUCUCUAAUUGCGUUUC
rnacentral:piRNA from 1 species